rnacentral:lncRNA from 1 species
GCCUUGUAGCUUUAGCAAAUAAUUUAUUUGGUUGCUUUUUUUCAUUCUUUUUGUAGACUCGUGUAUGAUGCACAGACUUUGGACAGGACAUAUCUAGAAAACAAAAAGCAGUUGAAUGCAAUGCAGAGUGACCUUGACUGAGAAGAAGCAGAUGAUGAUUAGAAGAAAGAAAAGAAAGAAAAGGGUAGAUCUUUUCCAUAGGUCUGUUUGGCCUUUGUGACACAAUAUGAUGGAGAGAAGGCACACUUGAAUAGUUUGCUUUGAAGACUGAGCGUCCUGAUUUAGCAAAUGCAGGCACUGCAAAGCAGUGUGGGACAAAACACCCAGUGAUUUCACUGCAACCAUCACUGUGCUUCAUAGACAGCUCUGCAGAGUUGGUCUCAUCCCAUCUACCUUCUUUCUUUACCUCCUACCUGCCUAAGAGCCAACACAGAUUGCCACAGUGUUAAUUCUAGCCAAUUCCAGUGGAAAAUAAGGGCAUAUGACAAGAGUGCACAUAUGUUAAUGACUCAGGCACCCUGAACGUUUUAUUUGUCAUUUUAUAUGUUGUUUGUUAC